rnacentral:rRNA from 1 species
UACGGGGGGGGCAAGCGUUGUUCGGAAUUACUGGGCGUAAAGGGCUCGUAGGUGGCCAACUAAGUCAGACGUGAAAUCCCUCGGCUUAACCGGGGAACUGCGUCUGAUACUGGAUGGCUUGAGUUCGGGAGGAGGAUGCGGAAUUCCAGGUGUAGCGGUGAAAUGCGUAGAUAUCUGGAGGAACACCGGUGGCGAAGGCGGCAUCCUGGACCGACACUGACACUGAGGAGCGAAAGCCAGGGGAGCAAACGGG